AAUGCGGGGCAGGGAUGGGGGGAGGGCGGGUUGUGUGUGAGUGUGCGAGCGAGGCAGUCUUUCAGGAGAGUGGCGGGUGUGUCCUUCUUGGCUCCUGAGUUUUAGUGCCCUGCUUGUUGUUCUUUGUCGGGGCACAUCUGUCCAUGGCCUAUCUCUUCAUCUAGGCUUGCAAUCAUCCUAACGUCCCCAUCAUGCUCUGCUGAGCCUGUAGUGUUUCUAGGUACACAGUAGGUGCUCAACAAAUGCUCAGUGAAUGCAAUGGAUAAGUGAAGGAUUGAACAAGUGUGCAUUUUGGUGUCAGCAGACUUGGGUUCUGUUAUUUACUUAGCUGGGAACUUGGGAUUUAAUUUUCUCAUCUAGAAAGCAAGAAUAAUAAUAUUUCCUAUUUUUUCUUGAAGGGUUGUUGGUGGAGGAUUAAAAGAGAUAUGUGAAAGUGUUUUAUACACUAUAAAGCACUGCACAAAUAUAAGAGGUUAUUACUAUAAUGGUUAUCACACUUGAAGUGAUCACUGUGUUUGAAAAUUAGGGAUUCUGUUUUCAGGAAUGUAAAAUCAUCUAGGCCUGAUUUGAACUAUGGGACUUGUAGAGCAAUGGUUAUAGGAACUGAUUCUAGAUUCAGCCAACAGUGGGAGCUUGCAGGGCCUGGAGGCUCAGCCCAGAGGCCCUUGCCCUCUCCUCUUCCUGGUGGACUGUCCCUGGGGUGGGAGGAUGAGUCUGAGAAAGUGGGCCAUCUUCAGUUAAGCCACCUGUCCCCAAAGUGGGCCCAUGGAAAUGGUCUUCCCGAGUCUCUGCCAUUGUCUGGACUCCAUGUCUCGUUAUCUUUGCAUAUGCUGUACCCUCUGCCAAAGAUGCUUUUCACCCUUUUCUCCACUGGUCUUUUCACCUCUUGUGCCAUAGUUGCUGCACUCUUUCCAGGCACCCAGGUUACCAAGUUUACUGCCAUGAGGGAAUCUAUCACAGUAUACCUGGGACAUUUUUUUUUUUUUUUUUUNNNNNNNNNNNNNNNNNNNNNNNNNNNNNNNNNNNNNNNNNNNNNNNNNNNNNNNNNNNNNNNNNNNNNNGCUCCGCCUCUUUGGUUCAUGCCGUUCUCCUGCCUCAGCCUCCCGAGUAGCUGGGACUACAGGUGCCCGCCACCAUGCCCGGCUAAUUUUUUGUAUUUUUAGUAGAGACGGGGUUUCACUGUGUUAGACAGGAUGGUCUCGAUCUCCUGACUUCGUAAUCUGCCUGCCUUGGCCUCCCUAAGUGCUGGGAUUGCAGGCGUGAGCCACCAGGCCCAGCCUGUACCUGGGACCCUUAAAGCCUGCCUCCCUUACCAGUGUGCACUGCCAGGGGAGGUACUGGGCUUCACUCAUCGCUGGAGCUCCAGAGCCAAGUGGAUGAAUGGACGGAAGGAUGAAAGAUGAAGGGAAGGGUUGGAGCUUGGUAACUGCACAAGAUUGGACCUUCUGAAGCACCCUGAGCUACAGGGCAAGGCAAGGAAGAAGAAGCUGCAGAGAGAUCAGUACUGCCUUGCAAAUCACCCCCACAUUUCUGAGAUAUUUCCCAGCCAACCUCAUGCUCCAAAUGUCAGCAAGGCUGAUCUUCCUUGGGGUCACAGGGUCUGGGGACCCCAGUCCCCUGUAGGUGGAAAAAAAAAAAAAUUUAGACAUGGGAGUCUCACUAUGUUGCCCAGGCUAGACUCGAACUCCUAGCCUCAAAUGACCCUCCCACCUCAACCUCCUGAGUAGCUGGGACUACAGGUGCAUGCCACCAUGCCCAGCUUGGGGUGAUAAAUUUGAGGUCCUUCAAGGCUUUCACACAACAUAGAUGGAGCACUUACAGCUCUCACAGUCCGCCU
rnacentral:lncRNA from 1 species